UACGUAGGGGGCAAGCGUUGUCCGGAAUUAUUGGGCGUAAAGCGCGCGCAGGCGGCUCUUUAAGUCUUGUGUUUAAUCCCGGGGCUCAACCUCGGUUCGCAUGGGAAACUGGAGAACUGGAGUGCAGGAGAGGAAAGUGGAAUUCCACGUGUAGCGGUGAAAUGCGUAGAGAUGUGGUGGAACACCAGUGGCGAAGGCGACUUUCUGGCCUGUAACUGACGCUGAGGCGCGAAAGCGUGGGGAGUGAACAGG
rnacentral:misc_RNA from 1 species